ensembl:lncRNA
CGUUUCCUCUAAAGAUGGAAUCUAAUGGGUUCCGUUGGAAUUAAGAAGAGGGAGGCGUCAUGCUGACCGCAGGCAGGUUUCCAAUCACCGCGUCUCCAGGCGGCUGGUCAGUUAUCGAUUCUUGUCAAACGGGAGUCACGCGCAGGAUCGCGGAGUUGAGAAAAAGUCUGCAAUUGAUUGUGGGGUUUUUAAAACAUUUCCGGUGAUGACUUGAUAUAGAAGACGCGAUACGGACACUUUGGAUAAACUUGUCAAUUCAAGUUACGUGUUCCAUUUAUUGCGAUUUUCCCUGAAUUCUAUGAUAUGGCUCAGUGAGUAACACAAGAACCUAUUAAAAAAUGUAGUGUGUUCAAAGAUAAGUAUUUAAAAUAUAAAAAAAACGCGAAAGACAUUUUAACACAAGUAAAGUUAAUAAGCAGUACGGACCACGAAAUGAGAAAUUGUCGCGAUUCUGUUACUCUCAUGGCUAUUUUAUACAAUAUCCCUUAAGCUUUGAAAGCUCGGAGAAAAACGUGACGUUUUGGGGGCAUCGUCCGGGAUUGCAAACUUCUGCUGAGGGCAACCCACGAGCAGCGAGGAACCCAACAAAGGGAGCGACUGUCCUAGGCCUAAGGGACCCACUGGUGACCAAGACCGAGCAAAAGUUAGGGCUGGCCCAUCCCGCGGUCCACGGAUCGACUCGGACGGAAUACUCCAUCGCCACAGAGAGCACAAGUUUUUCCUGCAAGUGAAAAUGCCAAAACCAGAAAGGAGGAGGAGCUUCCGCUGUAUCCCGUGCUU